rnacentral:rRNA from 1 species
ACCUGCAUAGUUCGAAAUUGAAAGGCGGCUUCGGCUGUCACUUAUGGAUGGACCCGCGUCGCAUUAGCUAGUUGGUGAGGUAACGGCUCACCAAGGCGACGAUGCGUAGCCGACCUGAGAGGGUGAUCGGCCACACUGGGACUGAGACACGGCCCAGACUCCUACGGGAGGCAGCAGUAGGGAAUCUUCCGCAAUGGACGAAAGUCUGACGGAGCAACGCCGCGUGAGUGAUGAAGGCUUUCGGGUCGUAAAACUCUGUUGUUAGGGAAGAACAAGUGCUAGUUGAAUAAGCUGGCACCUUGACGGUACCUAACCAGAAAGCCACGGCUAACUA